rnacentral:lncRNA from 1 species
AUUUCUCAGCUCAGGUGGAUUUUGUUUUCGCUCCUCUUUCCAGUUCUCCGGUAUUACAAUUUGAGGAUACAUCAAGUUCAUGACCACUUCUUGCUCCGUGUAAUUCUGUCUUGUUAUGUGUUUUUCCCCACAGGCAAAAAGGGACUCCUGAGCAUUUUUUCCCUUCGACAUUGUUUUACUAAUGAAUUAAAUUGUUUAGUUGGCCAUGUUGCCAAAAGUAUGUUCCACACCAGAAAUCUCAGUGCCAUUGUUCAGAGAGCAGAGAGCACCGAGGACGUCACUGUGCUCUGUGGCCGAAGCCACCUAGUGACUCCAGCAAAGAGGCUGGUGGUGGCCCUAGACUCUUGCAGAAGCUGGAAGUUCAUCACCACUUCUGACAUCACUCAACCGAUCAAUUCCUAUGGUAUAAGUUUGCGUGAUUCAAUUUAACUUAAUUUGAAUAGGUAAUAUAUUCACAUGGCACCAAAUGAAAAGAUACAAAAGAACCUAAAUCUUGUCCCAAGCCACCCGAUUUCCUGUCUUAGAAGCAACCAAAGUUCCGGGUUUCCUCGCAGGUAUAUUUUAUGCCUAUACAAGCGAAUACUUCUUUUUUUCCACAAAUGGUAGCAUUGCAUACACACUCUCUUGUACCUUCCUUUUAUGCAUUUAACUAUUGGAUAUCUACAUCAUGAAACAGGCGACCGUAUAAAGAAAGUACUUCAAGGAGGAGAGUGGGCUCAGCUGGGUGAAAUGCUUAAGUAAGAGGAGGAGGAAGGAUUGACCACUGGGGUUGGCCCAAAGGAGGCCACAGAUGACUCCAGCAGGAACCGUUACUAGGGAAGGGUGGGGACGAUGCCUCAGUCAAGUGAAUUUAAGAGAGCACGGAGGAAAGGCAGUGUAGACAGCUCUGCGAGACAGACUCACCAUAGACAAUUUUUAAGGACCUUGGCUGUGAAGGGAAAUAGAAUCAUGGCCUGUGGCUGGGGUCAUGAGCGGGAUUUUUUUAAGAUAAAUUAUAGCCUGUUUGUGUGAAAGGAGGAGUGAUCCUUUAUGUCAGGAAUACUGAAUGAUGGAGGAUAAAAAAGAGACCGUGACAGGAGCACCGUCCUGAAGCAGGUGAGAGGAGGGGACUCAGGGCAACCAGAGGGAGACAUGGCCAACGAUAGGCAGGUAGACGGCUCAGCCAAGGCGAGAGGAGGGAAGCAGAGCGUGUGGACACAGAUGCAGGGAAGAUGGUAGACGAUGGAGUGGGAGCACGUGGAAGUCACCCGGCGCUUGCUUCUAAGUCCUCACUUUAAAAGGCAGUGAGGAGGGGUAGGGGGGCAUCAGAGGGGAGUGUUCAUCUGGAGAAGGAAGAGAAUAAAUAGAACAGAUUGCUCGAAACCCUGGAGGCC